rnacentral:lncRNA from 1 species
GCAGAUUGCCGGAGGCCAGAAAGUAAGACAAAUAACAGCUCACCUGCCUGGCUUGUUGGAGCAACAAGAAACUUUAAGAGCAAUCCUCCAUUUGCCAGGGGAAGAUAACUGGAAAGCUGAGCUGGAGUUUGAAAGACAAGAUGUAUUUCAAACUUCCCUUGAACUUUCUCCAGUAAGUAUAAUUGUGUGCUUGUUGUCAACCCGGCCUUAGUCCUUGUCAUUACAGGUUCAGUAGCUGCAAAGGUGAAAUGUUUUGACAAAUAUUGAACGUCAUCUAUUUUAUACUCUGGAUCAGCAUGGAUGUUUUUUAGCUUCUUCAGACGGCUCUGUAAUGGAGUUAUAUUUGGAAGUUUCCCAGUAUGGUGCAAAAAGCCUCAUAGAGAGAGGAAGUUUAUAAACUGCAGUUCUACGCGAAGAAGAAAGACCAGAUGCUCAUCCUGCAUGACUCCUCCUUGAGCCUUUGUAUUUUCCCAGCUAGACCUUUCAGGCUUCCUAUUUAUACAUUUAUCUCAAGUAUACCGAGUGGUGACAAAGAUGCGAAUCGGCCAGCACAUUUUCACUCAGUGUAGAGAGAAGCCAUUUAAAGACUGAGAUAACAUUUCAAGAAAACAAUAAAACCUGACAAUAAGGGAAGAUGAGAAAAAAGGAACAUUCCUGACUGUGGUUCUGACAUUCACAA